rfam:Acyrthosiphon pisum strain LSR1 Contig41697, whole genome shotgun sequence.
AAAAUGGCCCUUUUCAGGGCCAUCACCUAAACCUCAGCAAGGCACU